ACGCUCGACACCUACGGGAGGCGGCAGUGGGGAAUAUUGCACAAUGGGGGAAACCCUGAUGCAGCGACGCCGCGUGAGCGAAGAAGUAUUUCGGUAUGUAAAGCUCUAUCAGCAGGGAAGAAACUGACGGUACCUGACUAAGAAGCACCGGCUAAAUACGUGCCAGCAGCCGCGGUAAUCUGAGCGGCUGGCAAGGC
rnacentral:rRNA from 1 species